AUACGGAGGGUGCAAGCGUUAUCCGGAAUCAUUGGGUUUAAAGGGUCCGCAGGCGGGAAAAUAAGUCAGUGGUGAAAGCCUACAGCUCAACUGUAGAACUGCCAUUGAUACUGUUUUUCUUGAGUAUAGAUGAAGUGGGCGGAAUAUAUCAUGUAGCGGUGAAAUGCAUAGAUAUGAUAUAGAACACCGAUUGCGAAGGCAGCUCACUAAACUAUUACUGACGCUCAGGGACGAAAGCGUGGGGAGCGAACAGGAUUAGAAACCCCAGUAGUCC
rnacentral:rRNA from 1 species